rnacentral:rRNA from 1 species
GUAAGGAAUAUUGGUCAAUGGACGCAAGUCUGAACCAGCCAUGCCGCGUGAAGGAUGAAGGUCCUCUGGAUUGUAAACUUCUUUUAUAUGGGACGAAACCCGGGAAUUCUUUCCCGAUUGACGGUACCAUAGGAAUAAGCACCGGCUAACUCCGUGCCAGCAGCCGCGGUAAUACGGAGGGUGCAAGCGUUAUCCGGAUUCACUGGGUUUAAAGGGUGCGUAGGAGGGUAGGUAAGUCAGUGGUGAAAUCCCCGAGCUUAACUUGGGAACUGCCGUUGAUACUAUCUAUCUUGAAUAUCGUGGAGGUGAGCGGAAUAUGUCAUGUAGCGGUGAAAUGCUUAGAUAUGACAUAGAACACCAAUUGCGAAGGCAGCUUGCUACACGAAUAUUGACUCUGAGGCACGAAAGCGUGGGGAUCAAAC